rnacentral:rRNA from 1 species
ACGAACGCUGGCGGCGUGCCUAAUACAUGCAAGUAGAACGCUGAAGAGAGGAGCUUGCUCUUCUUGGAUGAGUUGCGAACGGGUGAGUAACGCGUAGGUAACCUGCCUUGUAGCGGGGGAUAACUAUUGGAAACGAUAGCUAAUACCGCAUAACAAUGGAUGACACAUGUCAUUUAUUUGAAAGGGGCAAUUGCUCCACUACAAGAUGGACCUGCGUUGUAUUAGCUAGUAGGUGAGGUAACGGCUCACCUAGGCGACGAUACAUAGCCGACCUGAGAGGGUGAUCGGCCACACUGGGACUGAGACACGGCCCAGACUCCUACGGGAGGCAGCAGUAGGGAAUCUUCGGCAAUGGGGGCAACCCUGACCGAGCAACGCCGCGUGAGUGAAGAAGGUUUUCGGAUCGUAAAGCUCUGUUGUAAGUCAAGAACGAGUGUGAGAGUGGAAAGUUCACACUGUGACGGUAGCUUACCAGAAAGGGACGGCUAACUACGUGCCAGCAGCCGCGGUAAUACGUAGGUCCCGAGCGUUGUCCGGAUUUAUUGGGCGUAAAGCGAGCGCAGGCGGUUUGAUAAGUCUGAAGUUAAAGGCUGUGGCUCAACCAUAGUUCGCUUUGGAAACUGUCAAACUUGAGUGCAGAAGGGGAGAGUGGAAUUCCAUGUGUAGCGGUGAAAUGCGUAGAUAUAUGGAGGAACACCGGUGGCGAAAGCGGCUCUCUGGUCUGUAACUGACGCUGAGGCUCGAAAGCGUGGGGAGCGAACAGGAUUAGAUACCCUGGUAGUCCACGCCGUAAACGAUGAGUGCUAGAUGUUGGAUCCUUUCCGGGAUUCAGUGCCGCAGCUAACGCAUUAAGCACUCCGCCUGGGGAGUACGACCGCAAGGUUGAAACUCAAAGGAAUUGACGGGGGCCCGCACAAGCGGUGGAGCAUGUGGUUUAAUUCGAAGCAACGCGAAGAACCUUACCAGGUCUUGACAUCCCGAUGCUAUUUCUAGAGAUAGAAAGUUACUUCGGUACAUCGGUGACAGGUGGUGCAUGGUUGUCGUCAGCUCGUGUCGUGAGAUGUUGGGUUAAGUCCCGCAACGAGCGCAACCCCUAUUGUUAGUUGCCAUCAUUCAGUUGGGCACUCUAGCGAGACUGCCGGUAAUAAACCGGAGGAAGGUGGGGAUGACGUCAAAUCAUCAUGCCCCUUAUGACCUGGGCUACACACGUGCUACAAUGGUUGGUACAACGAGUUGCGAGUCGGUGACGGCAAGCUAAUCUCUUAAAGCCAAUCUCAGUUCGGAUUGUAGGCUGCAACUCGCCUACAUGAAGUCGGAAUCGCUAGUAAUCGCGGAUCAGCACGCCGCGGUGAAUACGUUCCCGGGCCUUGUACACACCGCCCGUCACACCACGAGAGUUUGUAACACCCGAAGUCGGUGAGGUAACCUUUUGGAGCCAGCCGCCUAAGGUGGGAUAGAUGAUUGGGGUG